GAAGUAAAAGUCGUAACAAGGUCUCCGUUGGUGAACCAGCGGAGGGAUCAUUACCGAGUUUACAACUCCCAAACCCCUGUGAACAUACCAAUUGUUGCCUCGGCGGAUCAGCCCGCUCCCGGUAAAACGGGACGGCCCGCCAGAGGACCCCUAAACUCUGUUUCUAUAUGUAACUUCUGAGUAAAACCAUAAAUAAAUCAAAACUUUCAACAACGGAUCUCUUGGUUCUGGCAUCGAUGAAGAACGCAGCAAAAUGCGAUAAGUAAUGUGAAUUGCAGAAUUCAGUGAAUCAUCGAAUCUUUGAACGCACAUUGCGCCCGCCAGUAUUCUGGCGGGCAUGCCUGUUCGAGCGUCAUUUCAACCCUCAAGCCCAGCUUGGUGUUGGGACUCGCGAGUCAAAUCGCGUUCCCCAAAUUGAUUGGCGGUCACGUCGAGCUUCCAUAGCGUAGUAGUAAAACCCUCGUUACUGGUAAUCGUCGCGGCCACGCCGUUAAACCCCAACUUCUGAAUGUUGACCUCGGAUCAGGUAGGAAUACCCGCUGAACUUAAGCAUAUCAAUAAGCGGAGG
rnacentral:rRNA from 1 species